AUUAGAGACGGGGAAAAAGUCUGAAGUCGCUAGAAACCGUAUUGUACUUUAGGCAAAUGUCUCAACAUGUCAGCUCAGCUGAAGUGGAUAGAAGCAGCCAAUUAUUUUUAAAGGUUGUAAUCUGUUAACAGUACUGUUAGUGGAACGGAGUCCAGUCAGAGUACUGGGAUAUACUGUGGAGUAAAACCAGUGAAAAUAGGUAUUUGAUGCUACAUGGCAGGAGAGGUGGUAGUAGGGUUAAAGAAGGUAUUUGACACUACAUGGCAGGAGAGGUGGUAGUUGGGUUAAAGAAGGUAUUUGAUGCUACAUGGCAGGAGAGGUGGUAGUCGACUAAAACAAGGUAUUUGAUGCUACAUGGCAGGAGAGGUGGUAGUGGGGUUAAAGAAGGUAUUUGAUGCUACAUGGCAGGAGAGGUGGUAGUCGACUAAAACAAGGUAUUUGAUGCUACAUGGCAGGAGAGGUGGUAGUGGAAAUUAUUGUGGGCAGUAAUCGGUUCAUCUCAUGAAUCAACCCAAAUACGUGAUGACAGAAGGGUGUCGACACAACAUGGUGCUCCCAGUCAGAGAGGGAAGGUUAAUGAGGUGGUAGAGGGAGUUGUGUUGUGCUCCCAGUCAGAGAGGGAAGGUUAAUAUGAGGUGGUAGAGGGAGUUGUGUUGUGCUCCCAGUCAGAGAGGGAAGGUUAAUAUGAGGUGGUAGAGGGAGUUGUGCUCCUAGUCAGAGAGGGAAGGUUAAUAUGAGGU
rnacentral:lncRNA from 13 species